UACUUGGAUAACUGUGGUAAUUCUAGAGCUAAUACACGCAGGAUGAGCGCAUUUAUUAGACAAAAACCAAUUUUGGUGGAUCUGAAUAACUCACGGUCUCGCACCGGCGACGCAUCUUCCAAGUGUCUGCCUUAUCAACUUUUGAUGGUAGUUUAUGCGACUACCAUGGUUGUAACGGGUAACGGAGAAUAAGGGUUCGACUCCGGAGAGGGAGCCUGAGAAACGGCUACCACAUCCAAGGAAGGCAGCAGGCGCGCAAAUUACCCAAUCUCAGUGAGGAGGUAGUGACGAAAAAUAACGAGACGGUUCUCUAGUUAUCGGAAUGAGUACAAUUCAAACCCUUUAACGAGGAUCUACGAGAGGGCAAGUCUGGUGCCAGCAGCCGCGGUAAUUCCAGCUCUCGAAGUGUAUAUCAUUGUUGUUGCGGUUAAAAAGCUCGUAGUUGGAUCUGCUUUGGAGCCGGUCUUCCCAACGGGACAGUGGCUGGUUUGCCUUGGUGCUCUUCACCGGGUGCCUUGGCUGACUAGCAAGUUUACUUUGAAAAAAUUAGAGUGCUCAAAACAAGCGUUUGCUUGAAUACUGGUGCAUGGAAUAAUGGAAUAGGAGGUUCUAUUUUGUUGGUUUUCGGAACGUGAGAUAAUGAUUAAGAGGAACAGACGGGGGCAUUCGUAUUGCAGCGCUAGAGGUGAAAUUCUUGGA
rnacentral:rRNA from 1 species